UCUCAGAGAGGGGGGGGGGGGAUCAUUUAUGGCACGACUGCGAAACACUCUCAGAAUCCAGUAUGUCGCUCCUACAGGAGGGCAUAGAAGCACAGAAGCCCGGGGAUAUGGAUAAUGAAUUACUUUAAAUAGGCAUGCAUCAUCUGGAAAAAGCAGCAGACGAGGCAAUGUUGCAGGGACUGUGACUGGUGCAGGCAGUUGUGUAAGUACUGUUGCUAAAGUUGGACUCAAUUACUUUCGAGAACACUACAAAAAUGUUGUAGACAAAGUGCUCUUCUUGAAACAAUGUCCAAAAAACACCUUAGAAAAGCUACCAACAAUUACAAAAUAAUGAAAAGAGUGAGGAAGGCUGCUCAUUUUCCAAAGCUUUGCUUCUCUUCUGUUCUGAAGCAAAAAAAAAAAAAAAAAAAAACAGUAACCAGCACAUUCCUGUAAAUCACAACUAAUUUCAGCCCUGCCUGACGUGCCUACUAAAGUAGAAACACAUGCACUGCCUCCUCUUUCUUUUCCAUCCUGCCACAGCCAGCCCACACUUUUUCCUUUACUCAGUCUCCCAGUCUGCUCCCUUUGCUGGUCAUUUGUUCGAUACACCCCUCAUGUUUCAAACAUGUAGUCGACGAAUCAAUACUUUGCUUCCAUAUUUCAUCAUGUCUUUCCACCAAGUUUAGCUGAGACCAUUUCUCCUCUUUUCCCUGUUGUGUUGAUGUAUAGCAAGCAACAGAACACAAAAUCCAACCCAAGCGCAACAUUUUUUUGUGGUUUUUCUUUACUGCCUUCAAGCUACUGUUGUUAAACUUUAAAUUAUGUCUGCAGCUUCUAGAAUAGAAAAGUUAGGCUAGUUGGGCUAUUUGGCGAAUGCAUGUUGAGAUAAAUACUUUAACUAGGAAUUUCAAUUUUAUGAUGCAUUUCAUAGCAAAAUGCACAGUUUGUGCAUAUUAGAGCUUUAUUUCCCUGCAGCUAAUGAGAACAACUGAACCAAAAUCAUGCAUUGCUCGCACCCAAAUACGCUUUGAUUAUAUCCCCCAAUCCUGUUUUUGAUUCCAAAGGGCUUUAAAAAUAUUGACUUUGUUUAGGAAUAAUGAUUUACUGUAAGGCCAAAUAUUUUAUGACUUUUUCCAAGUCCUAUUUGUGCACACCUCUGCCUCACCCUUCCUUUCAUAACCUCGGCCAAUAUAAUUAUCCAUUUGUUUUUUGUUUCCCCAACAAUUGAUUUGCAGUCUUAUAGGGCCUCUUUUCAGUAUGAGAAAACCAAUAGUUGUUUCUUUAGACUGGCUACUGCAGUACAGCGUGUUGGCAAAUCUGAAUAAAGAAACAUGAGUUUAAGGUUUAGAGAAAGAAAGUGAAAAGACUAUCCGGUGAUCUAAGGCCAUAAACAUCAAAAUGUGGUACGAGAGCCAUCAGUGGUACUUCUUCUACUGUUUCUCAGAGAAAUAAUUUGGUAAGUACUAUUAAACAAUAAGCAAAUUGAAGCAAAUUGUUGAAGCAAAUUGAUAUGUAAAUUUGAAGAGAAACUACCUAAAUCUACCAAUACCCUGAUCUUCUAAACAGGUAAAGAAGUCAUCUGCAUAAGAGAUUAUAAAAUAUAAGUUGGGAUGGUGACAACUUGCAUCUAUUUGCAUAAAAAAGCAAAAAAGACAUGAAGCAACAACUUGGUUUUAUUGUCUCGCUUUCGUGCAAAACCUUCCUGAGGCAUCUGGUGUUGCCUGCCCUAAUACCGCCUGGGUCUGUCCUCAUCUGAUGAUGGACUGCCCUCUUCAUACUGAUGGCUCUGCCGCUGUCUGAGCCAAACCCUAGUCUUGACCAGGCUAUCCUCCCAACAUGCCUCUGUGCCUCCAUCCCAAAAUGCAUUAUUGACGUGGCCCAAUCUGAUUGGCAAAUUAUAAAACCAUAAUAUCUAGUAUGUUGAUGAAGUAAUGAUAAAUAUUAGGGUAACUGAUAUCCUGAUGUCUUCUUGCUGCUCAGUGAAUAUUGUGAAUAUACUGUAGGUCACAAUAUUCACAAUAUUGUGAUACUGAAGUUGUUUCUCAUUGGGGCGAAUGGAUGGAACAGAAACAUAAUGGUUAUAUUCAUCAUAGCCAUGUCUGUUUUCUUCUUACACCUGUAUGGUGUCUACACAUUAGGCAGAACAUUUAUAUAACCAUUAUCAUGACAUUAACACAGAAAGGUGCAACAUAAUCUAAAUGCUUUUAUUUAAAAAAAAAAGCAAUACUUAAUAAAUUGCUGCUGUGAAAAUAAUAUAUUAUUUCAGCUCUAAUGAUGCUUAAACAUUUUUUAAUUUGUUUUUUAUUGUGAUGCAUAAACACAUGGAGAGUGAGAGGACAGAUUUAUGUUGAAAUGAGAAUAAUCUCAUAUAUACUGUACAUUUACAAUUCUUACAAUGACAUAAGAAAAAAUUAUUCCAGAUUAAGAUAAUAUAUUCAGUCUUAAGUGACUAAAUAUCACCACUUAAUUUUGUAUUAAGUGGUGAUAUAAAAUUAAAUUCAGUUUCAGCUUAAACAUUAGGUAGAUUUAGACAAUAUUUAGAGAUGUACACACCGGUACAACACUAAAGCAACAUCUGGAAGAACCAACAGCUGAACUUAGGAAAAGCUUUUACGUAAAUAAGCCUGUUGUGUCCAAUAUUAGCACUUCUCGACGCUCUGCUUUGUUUUAAUAAAACUAGAGUCUGAUAAGAUGAUAGGACAAGAGCUGCUAAAUUACCCGACCUGUUAGCUUGAUCUGCUAGCCUGCAUUCUGCAGUUCUUCAGACAUAACGCUCUAGUCUCUUAUAAAAUCAACUAUUCCUUUUUUUUUUUAAAUGCAUUAGCUUAAGAAUAGCAAUGAACUUUCUGAAAACUGGUAAUAACAAGGCAGCACCAAACAACUGCUCUUUACUGGAGGAAACUAUUCUUUUCAAUGGACUUUAAUGGGUAAGAAGACUAUGACAGAUCUACUUGUUUUGAAUCUGUAACUUUUGUAAAUGCUAUAUAAAUUAGGUGGGGAAACACUGCUUUUCACAUCACAGUCCUAAAUAAUAAUCUGAUUUUGUAGAAUUAUGCAAAGAAACACUCUGCGUACUAUAGUUUACAGGAAUCCUUUUUUAAAUGCAAUUCUUUAUUUCUAUGCAUCUUUUAUUUUUAAUGUAUUUAUUUAAUCCAUCAACCAUAUACCAUUUUUUGUCAUAGUUUUGUAUAAUAUUGAUUAAAAAAAGAACACAGCAAGUGAUGGUCACUAGCUAGCAUAAAGGAAGUAAAUAAUUCCCAUAAAACUGCCAUUAGCCCUUUUAGUGUUUAACUAGAAUUCACUUUAAAAUGUUUUGGCAGCAACAGCUAAACUUAAAAACAUGAAUACAGCAAACAAAGAUGCACAAUAUUAUGUAAAAC